ensembl:lncRNA
GAGAUUUGUUGGGGCAAAUAUUAUUGGGGUUGGUUGCUGUACCAGCAAGCCUAGUUAUUAGUGCUUUAAAAUCAAAGCCUGUAGAGAUAGGGUAGAGAGAUGGGAAUUGAAAGCAGGAAGGAGGGAUGCAGACACGCUGACAAAUGAAAGUGAGGGAGAAGCUCAUUAAGCUACUGCGGUUGAGGGAAUAGCCAAUAAAAACCAAAAGGAUGAUCAUAAGAGAGUAAAGUGAAAGAAAGGGAAAAAUAUAUGAGAAUGGAGGCUGAGAAAGAAAAAAAAGAGAUAAGUGAGGGAGGAUGAGAAUAGGGGAAGAAGGGAAUUGGGGGAUCGUUUGAAAUGUAGAAAGCCAGUUACAGCCCACUUAUUGCAAUCUUUUUCCCUUCCACAUAAACCUGUCUUGAUGUCAGAAUACUACAGAGUGCAAAAUAAGUAAUUUCCCCUGCUCAUGCUCAUUUGAAUGAAGCAUCUAGAUGUUGGGUUUUUUUUAUUUUUUAUUUUAUUUUAUCGGGCUUCAUUCACAAUAGCAUCAGCAGUAUUUUCCCUCCCAUUCUUGAACACUCUGUGCCAGUAGGACUCUCAGAGGGCAGCUGACAUCUGUCACUUCAGUGUGAGACUAACAGGUAACACUUUGACAAUUCCUUUUGCCUUGGUUCCAAUGAACAAUAAACAAAUGAAUGCUGAGUUAAACACAACUCAGCAUCUGUUCAUCAGCAGCCACAGAGUUCAGCCAGAGUGACGUUUAAAAGAAGGAUUCUGGGUUAAUUUAACCUGGUAUGUUCUCCAUAAAAACUGUCUAUUGUGGCUCAAAAUGAUUCACACAGUGCUGGGGCAGCCUGCUGGGAAGUCUAAUCACCAGAAUAUACGUCCACAUACAAUGAUUUGUUUUUGUGUGGGAGGUUGUUGGUAGCUUGCUCCUUACAAGUAUUCAUACUGGAGUGUUUGGUUGGCAACAAAACAGAUCAAAGGGUUUGUGUGUGGAAGUAUGCAGACUGCAAAAAACAAACAAAAAUAAACAAACAAGCAAACUAUAAAAGCCAAGUAUUUCCUGUAAUUGCUAGCUAUCCUAAUGAGUAGCGCUAGCUAGCGCCGAGAAAUUGAUGCAAGGGAGCUCCUAAAGUUUCAUUAAUACUGC